UGAUGCUAAAUGUCCUGUUUCUUCUGCAACAAAGGAAGACAGAAGAAACCGAGCUGACAUUGCUGCUUCUUUCCAGCGAGUAGCUGUCUUGCAUCUGGAGGAGAAGUGUGAGCGAGCAAUAGACUGGGCACUGAAACUCGAGCCUUCUAUAAAACAUAUGGUGAGACUCAAAUGAAACUUCUGUUUUGUUUGACAAUACUUGGCUUUAUAUUCUUCGAUCUUCAGGUAGUCUCUGGUGGUGUUGCUUCAACACCAGUAUGUACGGUCUCGACUCAAUAACAUUGUCGUAAACAAGAACCUGAGACUUGUCUGCCCUCCUCCUAGCCUUUGCACAGACAAUGGAGUAAUGGUGGCUUGGACUGGUCUGGAGCAUUUUCGCGUAGGAAGAUUUGAUCCACCUCCACCUGCAAUUGAACCUGAUGACUUUGUGUAUGAUCUUCGACCAAGGUGGCCUCUUGGAGAGGAGUACGCACAAGGAAGAAGCGAAGCUCGUUCUAUGAAAACCGCACGCGUUCAUCCCUCUCUUACUUCAAUCAUCCGAGCAGAUUCUCUUCAACAACAGACACAAACAUAGCUAUAAAAAAAAAGAUUACUUCUUGUAACUUAGUUCAGUUAUCUGUUUUUAGUGUACAAAUGUUAGUCUUUCAUGAUAAAUAACAAGUCUUUUCUUCUUAGGACAUCUCCAUUCCUAA